GACGCAGUCAUCCACGACUCUU
rnacentral:siRNA from 1 species